rnacentral:lncRNA from 1 species
ACUAAAACCCUAACUUGGGGAAAAACAAAAAAUCCCCUUUGGAUUUUCUUCAGCCAUGGCUCUCCUCCUCCGCCUGAGAACACGAACCACAACCCCCUCUUUAACAACCCCUUCUCCAUUCCACCACCGCCUCAUUUCCCCCACCCCCCCCCCGCCUCAUUUCCACCUCCAGCUCCGGCGGCGGCGACGACGACGACCCCAAAUCCAAAUCUCCAUUCGCAUCCUAUUUCAGAGACGUCAGGGACAAACUCAAGCAACGCCCACCCCCNNNNNNN